rnacentral:rRNA from 1 species
GGCGAACGCUAGCGGCGCGCCUAACACAUGCAAGUCGUGCGGGAAAGGGCUUCGGCCCCAGUACCGCGGCAGACGGGUGAGUAACACGUGAGUAACCUGUCCUCGGGUCUGGGAUAACCACCCGAAAGGGUGGCUAAUACCGGAUAAAGUCACCGGGCGCAAGCUCGGUGAUGAAAGGGGGCCUCUGCAUAGCAAGCUCCUGCCUGAGGAGGGGCUCGCGGCCCAUCAGCUAGUUGGUGGGGUAACGGCCCACCAAGGCUAUGACGGGUAGCCGGCCUGAGAGGGUGGUCGGCCACACGGGCACUGAGACACGGGCCCGACUCCUACGGGAGGCAGCAGUGGGGAAUCUUGGGCAAUGGGCGAAAGCCUGACCCAGCGACGCCGCGUGGGGGAAGAAGGCCUUCGGGUCGUAAACCCCUGUUCUGGGGGAAGAACCCUGGCUGGGUUAAGAGCCCAGUCAGGCUGACGGUACCCCAGGAGAAAGCCACGGCUAACUGCGUGCCAGCAGCCGCGGUAAUACGCAGGUGGCGAGCGUUGCCCGGAAUUACUGGGCGUAAAGGGUGCGUAGGCGGCCGGACAAGUCGUAGGUUAAAGCCCGGGGCUCAACCCCGGAAAGGCCUACGAUACUGUCUGGCUUGAGGGCUGGAGAGGCUGGCGGAAUUCCCGGUGUAGGGGUGAAAUCCGUAGAUAUCGGGAGAACACCGGAGGGGAAGCCGGCCAGCUGGACAGCUCCUGACGCUGAGGCACGAAAGCGUGGGGAGCAAACCGGAUUAGAUACCCGGGUAGU